AUUUCACCAGUUCUACUACACAGAAGCUGGACAAAGAUCUCAA
rnacentral:sRNA from 1 species